rnacentral:rRNA from 1 species
ACUACGGGUGGCAGCAGUGAGGAAUAUUGGUCAAUGGGCGGAAGCCUGAACCAGCCAAGUAGCGUGCAGGAUGACGGCCCUACGGGUUGUAAACUGCUUUUAUACGGGAAUAACGCGCCUUACGUGUAGGGCUUUGCAUGUACCGUAUGAAUAAGGACCGGCUAAUUCCGUGCCAGCAGCCGCGGUAAUACGGAAGGUCCGGGCGUUAUCCGGAUUUAUUGGGUUUAAAGGGAGCGUAGGCCGCAUGUCAAGCGUGCUGUGAAAUGUCCGGGCUCAACCCGGGCCUUGCAGCGCGAAAUGGCGUGCUUGAGUCCGCGGAAAGCAGGCGGAAUUCGUCGUGUAGCGGUGAAAUGCUUAGAUAUGACGAAGAACCCCGAUUGCGAAGGCAGCUUGCUGCAGCGGAACUGACGCUGAUGCUCGAAAGCGCGGGUAUCGAACAGGAUUAGAUACCCUGGUAGUC